UGGAGAUAUGCCUUGGAGAUGACUAGAUGGAGCAGACUGAAACAAAGCCGGGGAAUGAGAUACCAAUCAAGCAAGAUGGAUCAUGCUGGGUGUAGUGUCUGAACUCCAGUAUAGCAGGGGUGACUGAGCUCUAUCCUGACCUUCCAGCACAUCCUGUGGAAGUGAGAUGGCACGAAUAUACAUAACAUUGUUACCUGUACCCUUUAGAAGAAGGCUCAGGAACAGCUUAGUCCACAAAGUCUCACCACUUGCCAGAGGAACAGAUCAAGGAACAGUGAGAAACUUGGAACCAGAUCCUCCGAAUAGCAACUAGAGUGACAUCUACUGAACCAAGUGGAUCUAUCUCAGUGAAAGUUCACCUUACCAAGCAGCUCUCUGGUACUCACACACAGCUUAGUGGACCAUGAUAGCUGUGCAUCUGGGUAACAUGUCUGCAGCAGGCGCUGUACUCCUGGGAAGGAA
ensembl:lncRNA